rnacentral:lncRNA from 1 species
AAUAAAAUUGAGAAUGGAAAUGGGGUAUGUGCCAAAGAGACAACAACCCGACCAUAGAAAAAAAAACAACAGCAGAAGGUCACCAACAGGUCUUCAAUGUAGCGAGAAAUUCCCGCACCCGGAGGCGUCCUUCAACUGGCCCCUAAACAAAUAUAUACUAGUUCAGUGAUCAUGAACGCCAUACUAAUUUCCAAAUUGUACACAAG